AUGUCACUCUCUGCAUGGAAGCUGUCACCCAACUCUGAACCUGAAAUGCACCCAAGCUGCGUGCAUGAAGAUGGCUCCAACCUGAAGGCUCCUUUCCCACAGGGAUAUUUGGGGGAUGAGACAGGAGAGCUGGGCCAAGGACAGAUGGAACACAGAUGCCACCUGCAGACCUUGAGCAUGUCUCUUACCAUGUUGCAACUGAUUCCUCAGGUAGGAUUCAUCCAAAUGCUAGUCCCUGCCAGCCUCCUUCCCAGCCUGAAAUCCAGGUCCUCAUCCUAGACUAGUGGCCAAAUGGCCUGUGCCCUACAAACAUACACAUCUCUUCCCCAGUGAUCCGAGGGCCAUCAGUUGGUGGGAGGUGUCCACAUCAGAGCAGUGAUAGGAAUCCCUCUUGCCGAGCUUCCGUUUUAUGAUUCAAUAUUUGAGUCUGGAUGAUUAUUUUAACAUUAACUUCUCCACACCUCCAUUUCCCUGGCUGGGGGUAGGACAGCUCUUGCCACAGAGGGAUAUUUCCUUGAAACUGCAAGGAUGUGCCACAGAGAAAGGCACAAAGACGUGAAAGAAGGAGGAUGCUCUGUGCAGGCCCUUGGUACUGAUAUUGCAGCUGGACCCUGGGGAUUCAGAUCGUGCCUGUUCAGUGGAGAAAGGCUGCGUGCCACAGUGCCAGCCUGAUGGGCGCAUUUGGCCUCAUUUAAAUGCUCCACACAGGAUUCAAGUGCCCAGCUCUGUGGCUGGACUGUCACAUCCCACACAAAACAUAGGAUUCAAGGCUGCAGCAAAGCAGUGCCCCAGACCUUCCUGGAGAUGGAGCAGGAGAGGGUUGUGGUGUGUAUUCACAUCGAUGUCCGUGCCACCAGGGAGGCAAGCAGCUGGGGGUACAACAUCCCUGGGCAAAGGGCGAGUGCAGGCAGGAAGGGGUCCUGAGAAGAGGACUGCCCUUAGGUGAGA
rnacentral:lncRNA from 1 species